UGUGUUACCAUGCCCUGCUAAGCCAAUUUAGUUAGACCAUUAUCACUAUCGUCAGGUUAGUAGUGAGAAUGACUAAAAACCUCUGGUUUUGGGGUGUUUAUUUUGUCGUUGUUGCUAUGGUAGUUAGUUCAUUGUUUUGUUUUGUUUUCCCUUUUUCUUUGAGACAAACGUGGCUAUAUAGCUCAGACUAGCCAGAGACUCCUGAAUGCUAGAAGGUGUUCAAAACUACAACCAGCUCAGAAAUCCUGCAUUUUGUCCACGUCCGGUGUUUCUCAACAAUGGCCAGGUCCUGGCCCCUCAGGAAAAUGGGGGUCUUCCUCUAGAACAGCUCCGGGCAAGAAGAACCCAUCAGGCUGGCCCUUGCAUACACACAAGCCUCCAUGAAAAUGUAGGGAUGGGGAAUGCCCGCUAAAACUGUGAGAGAAGGGCACCAGGCUGGACCGCAGAGAUUGGUGACUGAAACAGUGUUUCUAACACAGCCAGCACGCUUUCACCUCGCUCUUCUAUCUCAGGACCCACAUUCUUUUAAGAAACACUGGCUGACAACUCAGACUCAGAUAGGUGUAGAACGCUGUUGACGACCUCAGCCUUCCUCGACUCCCAAUGGAAAACUUGAAUCCUUGGUUGGUUAGAAUUAAGGCGCUGCUGCAGGAAAAUCACCUACCCCAAGUCGUUAGCCUCAGGCUACCACUCCACGGAGCUAUGGAAUCUCCUCUCUCCACCCCAGCAUGACUUCUCAGGGGUGUGCGGCUACAGGUGAGAUUGGUUCAGGGCGAGGAAGGGGUGGGUUGGACCCAGGAAGCCGGGCCACUGCAGAGCAGGCACCAAAGUCAACUUUUCCCUCCGCAGCCAGUACGUUACAGC